AUGUACUCGUCGCAGUUGCUAAGCCGCGUCAACAACAUCCAAACGUCCCUGAUCAAUGCGCAGAAAGGUACCCAAUCCGCCGCCACCUACUUCGCCCACAUGCGUGGCCUCGCCGACGAGCUGGCCGCGGCUGGCAAGCCGAUCCAGGAUGAUGAGCUGAUCUCCUAUAUCCUCCAUGGGCUGGAUCUAGAGUACCAGCCCCUGGUCUCGGUCCUCGACGCCCGCGUCUCACCCGCCUCCCUCGAUGAGAUCUUCGCCAUGCUCAGCAAUUUCGAUCAACGCAUGGCGCAGUUCCACGGUGCGGGCGGCCACUCCUUCAAGUCAUUGGCCAACGCUGCAACCCACGGACGUGGUGGUGCACGUUCACGCGGCUCUUCCCGUGGCAGGGGCGGACUGGUGGCAGCAGCAACAAUGGCGGGCGCUUCAACAACAAGGCUCGCCGCGGAGGCAGCGGUGGCUCUGGUCGAUCUCGUCCGGACUCACCUCGCUGCCAAAUAUGUGGCAAGCCGGGCCACACUGCAAAGGACUGCUGGUACCGCUAUGAUGAGGACGAGGACGACUCUCAAGACGAUGACAAGGUCGCUGCGGCGGCCGACGGCUCCUACGGCAUCGACACCAACUGGUAUGUCGAUAGCGGCGCCACCAACCACAUCACCAAUGAACUUGAGAAGGUGA
rnacentral:rRNA from 1 species